rnacentral:lncRNA from 1 species
AAAGGCAGAGUGAAAAAUUGGAUAUUCAUUGAAGUUUGAGGAGGAGGGGAGAGUUCACUUUUUUGUAAGCCUUUUGUUCUCAGGUCCAUGAAGUAAAAGUAGCUUCCUCUCUGUGCUAAAGGUGAUAAUGAUAAUGAACUGCUUCUUCAGAAGUCUGUCUUUGCCCUCACCAUGUCAAGGAGCGUUAAUGAUGUGUUCCCUCUCCGCUGCAUUCCCCACCUGUCAUCU